rnacentral:rRNA from 1 species
GACGAACGCUGGCGGCGUGCCUAAUACAUGCAAGUAGAACGCUGAAGAGAGGAGCUUGCUCUUCUUGGAUGAGUUGCGAACGGGUGAGUAACGCGUAGGUAACCUGCCUUGUAGCGGGGGAUAACUAUUGGAAACGAUAGCUAAUACCGCAUAACAAUGGAUGACCCAUGUCAUUUAUUUGAAAGGGGCAAAUGCUCCACUACAAGAUGGACCUGCGUUGUAUUAGCUAGUAGGUGAGGUAACGGCUCACCUAGGCGACGAUACAUAGCCGACCUGAGAGGGUGAUCGGCCACACUGGGACUGAGACACGGCCCAGACUCCUACGGGAGGCAGCAGUAGGGAAUCUUCGGCAAUGGGGGCAACCCUGACCGAGCAACGCCGCAUGAGUGAAGAAGGUUGUCGGAUCGUAAAGCUCUGUUGUAAGUCAAGAACGAGUGUGAGAGUGGAAAGUUCACACUGUGACGGUAGCUUACCAGAAAGGGACGGCUAACUACGUG